GUGGCUAUAGUAUAAGCAUAAGUAUCCACACAGAACAGGCUUAAUUUUGACCGUAACAUGUGAACGAGGGCAAUACAAUUGAAGCAAAAGUAGAAAAUGAAAUGAGUAAGAACACACAUGCUGAAAAUUGAAACAAAUUCUGCCCAGCAACAUGACAUACCAGCGGCGGGAAGGGGGCGCUAUCUUUUCGCGCCACUGAGACAAAGGAGACAAAGAUGGAGGUUACGUCGCCUAGUAUGUUGUCAGACCUUACAGAGCAUUAUUAUGAUCCAGUCUCCCAUUAUGGAUUCCUAAACUGCGCAACCUUAGACGGAAUCUCGACCAGGGGCAGAGACGUUAUAAGUAGCGAAAAGUGACAGAUGACUGUGGUGAAGACAAGAAGCUCAGGCAAGAGGAUGGGAAUACCAGCAGCACAGAUGAGUGGGUCACCCUGAUCAAAAGAUUGCGGCCCUCAGCUGAGAACCUUCCAACUAUCAUGUCAGGCAUGGAGGAAACAUACACCAGUCGCAGAGCCUGGAUUAGCAAGGACUCCCCCACUGCCGCUGAAAUAUUCAGAGAGUACCCACGGUUUUUGGACAUACCAAGUCUGGUGGACUUGGAGUUUGGCAAGCUUACAGGUGGAAAGACGGAUCUCUUUUUACGAAAAUGGGAAGCCAGUAUCAUUCCGAAGCGCACCCCCCCCCCCGCGUGUUAACACACCUGCUUCCACCAGUUGGCGCCAGUCGUUGCAGCCUUAAAUCAGCUAUAACGCACCUGGUUGAUUUUGCACUGCCUGGAACAAGUAUUGCAUCGUUUUGCAGUGAUCCUGAAGCAUCAUCCACAACACACCAACCCCAGCUGAUAUGCAUCGGUGAUCUAAAGAGUGCAACCAGGCAGUACAUCAUUGUUGCUAAGAAUGACAAAGUAACCAUUCCUCUGAAUGAAGCCCAGAGGUGUGUUGUGGAUAAGCUUUUCAAACUGUACUGGGUAUGUAACUUGUCCUAUCCAGCACUGCUUGUCUUCACCUUCUUUGAGUUUGUCUAUGACCUGCUGCUGUCCACCCAAAGGAAAACCAAAGUACUGGAGCUGAUUGCACAGAUUAAAGCAUGCAAGUAAAAUGUUCACCUGUCCAAAAUGUAGAGAGUCUCUGUUCACAAAGGUGAGAAACCUCAUUUGGCGUCUUUGUCAAAUACACUGCUUAUCGGGACUCUGACCAUUUUUAUGCCUAUGCAGUGGAAAGGUCAGACAAUAUGAACUGAUUGGCUGAAAUUUUUGAUUUUCUGCCUUUAAAUAUAGUGACAAGCUUUGAUGCUAAUAAGCUGUAUUUAAACCCAAGGUACAUAAUUGUAUAACCUGGAUGCUAUAUUCGCCAAAAUGUACCAUAUGUUUUUCUGCUUGCAUGCAACCGCACAUUUGUUGAAUGUUGACAAUUUGUUGAAGAUGACAAUUGUUACCUUUAAAAAAUUUUAAUUCAUGUAUUGUCUGGACAUGAUUAUAUCAGAACAUAUAUAUAGAUAGAUAGAUAGAUAGAUAUAUGAUAUUUUGCCCUUUUUUCAUUUUUUUUGACAUUUUAAUGAUCUAGAGAGAUAGAAAGUUAGUCAGAUAUGAAUUUUGUUUGAUUUUGUCAAGUAAAAAUUGUGAUAUAGCUUUGGCUAAAAUUGAAUUUAAAACAUUUUAAUUGAAAAGAUUCCGACAGCUGUUGUUUAUUCAGUUUGUAAUGAUUUAUAAUAUGCUAAAUAAAAAAUGGAAUUCAAUAAAUGUAUAAUAUAUACCCAUCUUUUUUCUCCUUUUUUUUCAAAAAU